GUAGUCAUAUGCUUGUCUCAAAGAUAAGCCAUGCAUGUCUAAGUAUAAGCAAUUAUACCGCGAAACUGCGAAUGGCUCAUUAUAUAAGUUAUCGUUUAUUUGAUAGUACCUUACUACUUGGAUAACCGUGGUAAUUCUAGAGCUAAUACAUGCUAAAAAUCCCGACUUCGGAAGGGAUGUAUUUAUUAGAUUAAAAACCAAUGCCCUUCGGGGCUCACUGGUGAUUCAUGAUAACUCCUCGAAUCGCAUGGCCUUGUGCCGGCGAUGGUUCAUUCAAAUUUCUUCCCUAUCAACUUCCGAUGUUUGGGUAUUGGCCAAACAUGGUUGCAACGGGUAACGGGGAAU
rnacentral:rRNA from 1 species